rnacentral:rRNA from 1 species
AAUAUUACAGAACGGGCGAAAGCCUGAUGCAGCAGCGCCGCGAGAGUGAUAAAGGCCAUCGGGUCGUAAAGCUCUUUGACCAGGGUUGAUAAUGACAGUACCUGAAAAACAAGACACGGCUAACUACGUCCGAGCACCCGCGGUAAUACGUAGGUGGCGAGCGUUGUCCGGAAUUACUGGGCGUAAAGGAUGCGUAGGUGGAUACUUAAGUGGGAUGUGAGAUCCCCGGGCUCAACCCGGGAACUGCAUUCCAAACUGGGUAUCUAGAGUGCAGGAGAGGAAAGCGGAAUUCCUAGUGUAGCGGUGAAAUGCGUAGAUAUUAGGAGGAACACCAGUGGCGAAGGCGGCUUUCUGGACUGUAACUGACACUGAGGCAUGAAAGCGUGGGUAGCAAACAGG